rnacentral:rRNA from 1 species
AACGAACGCUGGCGGCGUGCUUAACACAUGCAAGUCUAACGGGAAUGUCGGCUUCGGCUGACUAGUACCGUGGCGAACGGGUGAGUAACACGUGGGUAAUCUGCCCUCGAGCUCGGGAUAACCUUGCGAAAGCGAGGCUAAUACCGGAUAAGACCACGCCCUGCACGCAGGGAGCGGUCAAAGGUGGCCUCUUCUUGAAAGCUAUCACUUGAGGAUGAGCCCGCGGCCUAUUAGCUAGUUGGUAGGGUAACGGCCUACCAAGGCGACGAUGGGUAGCCGGCCUUGGGGGGUGUACGGCCACACCGGAACUGGGACACGGUCCAGACUCCUACGGGAGGCAGCAGUGGGGAAUUUUGGGCAAUGGGCGAAAGCCUGACCCAGCGACGCCGUGUGGGCGAUGAAGGCCUUCGGGUUGUAAAGCCCUGUGAGGUGGAAAGAAGGGUCCAGAGGUUAAUACCCUUUGGGCUUUGACGGUACCACCAGAGGAAGCACCGGCUAACUCCGUGCCAGCAGCCGCCGUAAAAC